rnacentral:rRNA from 1 species
UACGUAGGGGGCAAGCGUUGUCCGGAAUUAUUGGGCGUAAAGAGCGCGUAGGCGGUCCGAUAAGUCGGCUGUGAAAGUCAGGGGCUCAACCCUUGGAAGCCGGCCGAUACUGUCGGACUAGAGUCCGGAAGAGGCGAGUGGAAUUCCUGGUGUAGCGGUGAAAUGCGCAGAUAUCAGGAGGAACACCUAUGGCGAAGGCAGCUCGCUGGGACGUGACUGACGCUGAGACGCGAAAGCGUGGGGAGCAAACAGG